rnacentral:tRNA from 1 species
UGCCUCAACCAGGGAUCGAACCUGAGACCUCGACAUUACUAGUGUCGCGCUCUACCACUGAGCUAUUAAGGC